CAGAUGAAGCCGGACAGAGUGAGCGAGGGAGUGGAAAAGAGGGACUUUUAUCGUCUUGGUUUUGUAGUGGGCAGUGAUGAGUGAGGGUGAGUCAGCCGUUUGCCUGGGGAUUGGAUGGAUAGGGGCAAAGUCGAAAGCUGAUUAUGUUGGAUGGUGGGUUGAUAUUAUUAUUAUUAUUAUUGAGCACCUAUAUUAUGCUCAUUCGGGAGCAUAGUUUAUUAUGACUAAGUCCAGAGGAUUUUUUUCCAACUGAAAUUUUUGAAACUGCUUUACAAUCACUAAAGAAAAAAGUUUAUAUCGAGCCGAGGCCCUAAUCAAUCUAAUUAAAGCCUACCUCAAAAAUUUAAGUGGUUGUUUUGUUGCUCAACUUGAUCAUCUCUACAUAAAGAUGCAUGGAUAUGAGAAAAAAAUUGGAUUUUAAGUUUUAAAAAUAAUGCAUCUUGUAACACAUUUUUGAACUGUCAAUUUUCAAGAUUGUCAAGUUUUCAAAGAUCGACUCGAUCUAUAUUAUUUUUAACGCUUUAAAUUUUAUAAUUAAAGAUGAAAAUAUAUUUUAAGGCAAUCACAAAGAUUUUCAGUAUUGAAACCACAUUUCUCGACAAUAUUUGAAGUUGGGCUCUACUUUAAUCUAUGGGUUAAAUAUAAGUUAUAUCUCCAAAAUUUAGGGUUGUAGUUGGAUUUUACCUAUCAGAGUAAACAAACAGUAUGCUUCCAAGGGUAUAAAAUAUCUUUUGGUAUAUGAUUAAUAAUAGGGUGUGGUUUGUAUGUAGCCCACCUUCUUCAAAUAGUUUCUAGAAAUGUGGUUUUAAUAUUUGAAAUCUUCGUAAUCGCCUUAAAAUAUAUUUUCAUCUUUAAUUAUAAAAUUUAGAGCUUUAAAUAGUAUAGAUCGAGCAAAUCUAUAAAAACUUGAAAAUAUUGAAAAAUAGCUGUCAAAAAAUGUGUGACAAGAUGUACUAUUUUCAAAACUUGAAAUCCAUUUUUUUUUUUUUAUUUCCAUGCAUCUUGUUGUCGACAUGAUCAAAUGGAGGAUAUUUGAGCAUCUAAACAACCUUUUUUUAGUGAAAUUUUUUAGGUGCCUCUUAUUUGAUUGUUUAGAGUCUCGGUUAUGUAUCAACUUUUUUUUUCAAUUAAUAUGAUUAUGUUGAUCUGCGCAGAUUGUGACAGGACAAGGCUUCUUGGUCACUCUACGAAUUUGAGAUGAUAUGAAUUUGAGAUGAUAUGAUAGAACCCAUUUUCCUUGGCAGACUUUGGUGCUGUAAAGAGUAAAGAGCCGGUUGCGGGUUAGAAAGGAAAAGGAAGUUAUUCAAGUCUUAGAGGAGUUUGUCGGAAAGGCCCUCUUCCAAUGCCAAAGCACUUGCCAAAGAAAGACAUGUGUAAUAAAUGUUUGGUGGUGGAGAUCUAUUGGGAUUACAUGAAUGAAUGUGCCUUUGUUUUGAGCUUUACCGUACACCAAAUUUAUGUUUCUGGAAAUAUUUUAUAGCAUUAGUUUAU
rnacentral:lncRNA from 1 species